UCUUAUCUAGAGAGGCGGAGGGACUGGCCCUUUGAAGCCUCGGCAGCGGACUAUAUUAGUACUGUGCCAAUUCCAGUAGCAUGAAAGCUUAGAGAUAAG
rnacentral:ncRNA from 1 species